UACCUCAUACAUAAAAAUAAGCAAUUUGCACAAAUGAAGUAGCAAGCACAAGUAUAAUAAUUCACAUAAAUCCCAAAGAAAGAAUAAUCACCUAAGUUAUAUUAAAGAUAAAAAAAAACAGAAACACGUCAGUUAAGUAGUAAGACAAUAUAAUUAAGUGUGAGAAUUAAAGAAAAUAUGAGAAAAUCAAAAUGUUGAAGAACCAACAUAACACACCUGGGUAUCGAACCCAGGACUAAAGAGGAGGUGAACUAUCUCUG
rnacentral:lncRNA from 1 species